rnacentral:rRNA from 1 species
GUGAAGGUGGGGUGAGGAGCGGCGGUAAUGCGAUGGGUGCAAGCGGUAAUGGGAAUUACUGGGCGGAAAGGGGGAGGAGGUGGUGCGUUAAGAUGGAUGGGAAAGCCCCGGGCUCAACCUGGGAACUGCAUCCAAAACUGGCGAGCUAGAGUAUGGUAGAGGGUGGGGGAAUUUCCUGUGUAGCGGUGAAAUGCGUAGAUAUAGGAAGGAACACCAGUGGCGAAGGCGGCUCUCUGGGACGGUACUGACGCUGAGACGCGAAAGCGUGGGGAGCGAACAGGAUUAGAUACCCUAGUAGUC